rnacentral:siRNA from 1 species
UAGCCCCGAAAAUGGAUGGC